rnacentral:rRNA from 1 species
AUUGAACGCUGGCGGCAGGCUUAACACAUGCAAGUCGAGCGGAGAUGAGGUGCUUGCACCUUAUCUUAGCGGCGGACGGGUGAGUAAUGCUUAGGAAUCUGCCUAUUAGUGGGGGACAACAUUCCGAAAGGAAUGCUAAUACCGCAUACGUCCUACGGGAGAAAGCAGGGGAUCUUCGGACCUUGCGCUAAUAGAUGGGCCUAAGUCGGAUUAGCUAGUCGGUGGGGUAAAGGCCUACCAAGGCGACGAUCUGUAGCGGGUCUGAGAGGAUGAUCCGCCACACUGGGACUGAGACACGGCCCAGACUCCUACGGGAGGCAGCAGUGGGGAAUAUUGGACAAUGGGGGGAACCCUGAUCCAGCCAUGCCGCGUGUGUGAAGAAGGCCUUAUGGUUGUAAAGCACUUUAAGCGAGGAGGAGGCUACUGAGACUAAUACUCUUGGAUAGUGGACGUUACUCGCAGAAUAAGCACCGGCUAACUCUGUGCCAGCCGCCGCGGUAAAAC